UACGGAGGAUGCAAGCGUUAUCCGGAAUGAUUGGGCGUAAAGCGUCCGCAGGUGGCAAUGUAAGUCUGCUGUCAAAGCGUCUGGCUCAACCAGAUAAAGGCAGUGGAAACUACAUAGCUAGAGUAAGGUAGGGGUAGAGGGAAUUCCUGGUGUAGCGGUGAAAUGCGUAGAUAUCAGGAAGAACACCGGUGGCGAAAGCGUUCUGCUAGACCUGUACUGACACUGAGGGACGAAAGCUAGGGGAGCGAAUGGG
rnacentral:rRNA from 1 species